rfam:Glycine soja cultivar W05 scaffold975_44, whole genome shotgun sequence.
UUUUUGUUGGAUGAUGACUGUCACGUGUCAUGUUGUGAUUGAUCAAUGAAAAUAACAAUGCAUUUCAUCUUUCAUGGAGUUCACAUUCAAUCAGAAUAUGACAUGUGACAAUCAUUAUUC